rnacentral:rRNA from 1 species
GACGAACGCUGGCGGCGUGCCUAAUACAUGCAAGUCGAGAGCAGGAAGCCGUUCCGAACCCUUCGGGGGGACGACGGUGGAAUGAGCGGCGGACGGGUGAGUAACACGUAAAGAACCUGCCCAUAGGUCUGGGAUAACCACGAGAAAUCGGGGCUAAUACCGGAUGUGUCAUCGGACCGCAUGGUCCGCUGAUGAAAGGCGCUCCGGCGUCGCCCAUGGAUGGCUUUGCGGUGCAUUAGCUAGUUGGUGGGGUAACGGCCCACCAAGGCGACGGUGCAUAGCAGACCUGAGAGGGUGAUCGGCCACACUGGGACUGAGACACGGCCCAGACUCCUACGGGAGGCAGCAGUAGGGAAUCUUCCACAAUGGACGAAAGUCUGAUGGAGCAACGCCGCGUGAACGAUGAAGGCUUUCGGGUCGUAAAGUUCUGUUGUAAGGGAAGAACAAGUGCCGCAGGCAAUGGCGGCACCUUGACGGUACCUUGCGAGAAAGCCACGGCUAACUACGUGCCAGCAGCCGCGGUAA